rnacentral:rRNA from 1 species
CAGUAGCCACGGUAAUACGUAGGGUGCAAGCGUUAUCCGGAAUUAUUGGGCGUAAAGAGCUCGUAGGCGGUUUGUCGCGUCUGCUGUGAAAACUGGAGGCUCAACCUCCAGCCUGCAGUGGGUACGGGCAGACUAGAGUGCGGUAGGGGAGAUUGGAAUUCCUGGUGUAGCGGUGGAAUGCGCAGAUAUCAGGAGGAACACCGAUGGCGAAGGCAGAUCUCUGGGCCGUAACUGACGCUGAGGAGCGAAAGCGUGGGGAGCGAACAGGAUUAGAGACCCCCGUAGUCCCUGUCUCUUAUAC